UACGGGGGGAGCAAGCGUUGUUCGGAAUUACUGGGCGUAAAGGGCUCGUAGGUGGCCAACUAAGUCAGACGUGAAAUCCCCAGGCUCAACUUGGGAACUGCGUCUGAUACUGGAUGGCUUGAAUUCGGGAGAGGGAUGCAGAAUUCCAGGUGUAGCGGUGAAAUGCGUAGAUAUCUGGAGGAAUACCGGUGGCGAAGGCGGCAUCCUGGACCGAGAUUGACACUGAUGAGCGAAAGCCAGGGGAGCAAACGGG
rnacentral:rRNA from 1 species